GUGGGAUUCCAGUUCCAUGUUUUACAGUAGCUAGACAGUGCGAGGGACAUGUGAAAAAUGUAAGGCCAGCAUACUUCUGAGUAAAGGUAAACUAAAGUAUACAAAUGCCCCGACCUCAGUUCUUAUAACAAUAAGCAAUCUCAACAGUCGUAUGUUAUUGGCGACGAGUGAAACGCACAAGAGAAGAAUGCAAUUUACAAGACGAACUACGUGCGUACCCCUGCUCCUGUGUCCCCUCAGAUCAGCACAUCCUGUCCCAGGAGUUUACACUACAAUCCUGCUGUGCUUUUUGGGAUAAUCAGCCUCUUCUCUGCUGGCCUGUCUUCUGCUUCUGGACACCAUGGAUUGUCAAAUCCAGAUUGUCACAUGGUAGGUCAUAAGUGGGACAUAGUACCAUG
ensembl:lncRNA